rnacentral:rRNA from 1 species
CGUGCCAGCAGCCGCGGUAAUACGAAGGGGGCUAGCGUUGCUCGGAAUUACUGGGCGUAAAGGGCGCGUAGGCGGACAGUUAAGUUGGGGGUGAAAGCCCGGGGCUCAACCUCGGAAAUGCCUUCAAUACUGGCUGUCUUGAGUACGGGAGAGGUGAGUGGAACUCCGAGUGUAGAGGUGAAAUUCGUAGAUAUUCGGAAGAACACCAGUGGCGAAGGCGACUCACUGGCCCGUUACUGACGCUGAGGCGCGAAAGCGUGGGGAGCAAACAGGAUUAGAUACCCUGGUAGUCCACGCCGUAAACGAUG